AUUUCUUCUUGGCCUUGUGGCUGAGAUCCAGUGCAGUAUCUGUUUUUCUCAGUUUAAUGUGGUUUUGAUGUGGACAUGAGGUGAUCAAAGUUAUUGAGCAGAUGGAGGACUGAGGAGAGGUGCCGCACUGAGGAUGGGCUUAGAACUGAGAGAGGAGCUCUAUCUGCUGAUACUCCUGUUUUUUAAGACAAGGUCCUCCU